UGGGGAAUAUUGGACAAUGGGCGCAAGCCUGAUCCAGCCAUGCCGCGUGAGUGAUGAAGGCCUUAGGGUUGUAAAGCUCUUUCACCCACGACGAUAAUGACGGUAGUGGGAGAAGAAGCCCCGGCUAACUUCGUGCCAGCAGCCGCGGUAAUACGAAGGGGGCUAGCGUUGCUCGGAAUCACUGGGCGUAAAGGGCGCGUAGGCGGACGUUUAAGUCAGGGGUGAAAGCCCGAGGCUCAACCUCGGAAUUGCCCUUGAUACUGGAUGUCUCGAGACCGGAAGAGGUGAGUGGAACUGCGAGUGUAGAGGUGAAAUUCGUAGAUAUUCGCAAGAACACCAGUGGCGAAAGGCGGCUCACUGGUCCGGAUCUGACGCUGAGGCGCGAAAGCGUGGGGAGCAAACAGGAUUAGAUACCCUGGUAGUCCACGCCGUAAACGAUGGAUGCUAGCCGUUGGCCAGCUUGCUGGUCCGUGGCGCAGCUAACGCUUUAAGCAUCCCGCCUGGGGAGUCGGCCGCAAGGUUAAAACUCAAAAGGAAUUGACGGGGUCAUAGCUGUUUCCUG
rnacentral:rRNA from 1 species